GUGAACAACAAAUCUGUCAUUUCAAAGGAGGUCACUGAUGCUAGUGCUUAAGUAAUAGGUAAUUUCAUUUUCAGUUCUCUUGGCAAAACCCACAACAAUAUUAUUUUAUAUUCUGCAAAAUACUUACAUUUUUAGAGACGCGUAAUGAUUUAAACAACACUAAGCAAAACUAAGCUGUUUAAAAUAAAUGAAAUGACAGUAAAAUUAGGAAACUGAAAUGUUUCACCUGUUGGAGGAGUAAUGAGCAAAAGCAAAAUCCUUCAAAGCUAUUUGACAACUUUUGUGAAAUUUAGCAAUAUUUUCUGUUCUAUUCAAAGCCUUUUUUUAAGGAAAUGAAGCACUUCCACAGUUGGUAUUAUUAAGACUGUUAAAGAAUGGUUCAUUGGCCAAGCAGUGGUAGAAGAGAGAUUACUUUUGAAAAGCGCCGAAGUAGAAAAGUAUUUGAUGAGGAAAAAUGUUAUACUGUAGAAAAUUCACAGUAUAAUGUGAAUGCUACUGACAUGCAACUGCCAUGUAUGGUGUACUUCUGUACUCCUGGACCUGCAAGGCUUCCUUCAGUGUCUCACAAGACAAAGAUCAACAAAAUGUGUGGUGGACUCAGCAAGAGGGUGCCAGGCUACUAUUGGGAUAUCAAAGUAAUUAUCUCCUCCAAGGAAGAGGAAGUAUCCAUUACUGGUCAAUCUAUUCCAAAGUUCCUUUGGUAUCAGUCAGCGUUUAUGGAGAAAUAAUUAGUUUAUCGUAGUAAACUGAAGGGAUGAAUAUGCCACUGUAAAACUAGAAAUGAAGUUAUGAAGACAGAAAACACACCACCUACAUACUAGAAUUCAGCUGCAUCCUCACGUAUCUAUGUCUCUGGUGCCCCCCGCCCCAGCACAACAUCCAACCACAAGAGACGCAAGCUGACUGCAAUGUGUCCUCAUUCAUCUGGAAAUCCGACCAGCACGCUCUCUGCUGUGGGAACGGCAGAGCUGAUUCCCACCACGUCUCCCAAGCCGGUCGGUUCUCCUUUUGUGAGCUGCAGAACUCCGUAAACGAUACGCCUGUUAAACUUGUUAGCGCCGCGCACAGCGGGCGGAGCGGAGGACAGCGCGGCCGCCCUCACCACAGAUCGCC
ensembl:lncRNA